GAUGAACGCUGGCCCUUAGAGGGAUACAUGCAAGUCGAGCGAACGGACGAGAAGCUUGCUUCUCUGAUGUUAGCGGCGGACGGGUGAGUAACUCGUGGAUAACCUACCUAUAAGACUGGGAUAACUUCGGGAAACCGGAGCUAAUACCGGAUAAUAUUUUGAACCGCAUGGUUCAAAAGUGAAAGACGGUCUUGCUGUCACUUAUAGAUGGAUCCGCGCUGCAUUAGCUAGUUGGUAAGGUAACGGCUUACCAAGGCAACGAUGCAUAGCCGACCUGAGAGGGUGAUCGGCCACACUGGAACUGAGACACGGUCCAGACUCCUACGGGAGGCAGCAGUAGGGAAUCUUCCGCAAUGGGCGAAAGCCUGACGGAGCAACGCCGCGUGAGUGAUGAAGGUCUUCGGAUCGUAAAACUCUGUUAUUAGGGAAGAACAUAUGUGUAAGUAACUGUGCACAUCUUGACGGUACCUAAUCAGAAAGCCACGGCUAACUACGUGCCAGCAGCCGCGGUAAUACGUAGGUGGCAAGCGUUAUCCGGAAUUAUUGGGCGUAAAGCGCGCGUAGGCGGUUUUUUAAGUCUGAUGUGAAAGCCCACGGCUCAACCGUGGAGGGUCAUUGGAAACUGGAAAACUUGAGUGCAGAAGAGGAAAGUGGAAUUCCAUGUGUAGCGGUGAAAUGCGCAGAGAUAUGGAGGAACACCAGUGGCGAAGGCGACUUUCUGGUCUGUAACUGACGCUGAUGUGCGAAAGCGUGCGGAUCAAACAGGAUUAGAUACCCUGGUAGUCCACGCCGUAAACGAUGAGUGCUAAGUGUUAGGGGGUUUCCGCCCCUUAGUGCUGCAGCUAACGCAUUAAGCACUCCGCCUGGGGAGUACGACCGCAAGGUUGAAACUCAAAGGAAUUGACGGGGACCCGCACAAGCGGUGGAGCAUGUGGUUUAAUUCGAAGCAACGCGAAGAACCUUACCAAAUCUUGACAUCCUUUGACAACUCUAGAGAUAGAGCCUUCCCCUUCGGGGGACAAAGUGACAGGUGGUGCAUGGUUGUCGUCAGCUCGUGUCGUGAGAUGUUGGGUUAAGUCCCGCAACGAGCGCAACCCUUAAGCUUAGUUGCCAUCAUUAAGUUGGGCACUCUAAGUUGACUGCCGGUGACAAACCGGAGGAAGGUGGGGAUGACGUCAAAUCAUCAUGCCCCUUAUGAUUUGGGCUACACACGUGUUACAAUGGACAAUACAAAGGGCAGCGAAACCGCGAGGUCAAGCAAAUCCCAUAAAGUUGUUCUCAGUUCGGAUUGUAGUCUGCAACUCGACUACAUGAAGCUGGAAUCGCUAGUAAUCGUAGAUCAGCAUGCUACGGUGAAUACGUUCCCGGGUCU
rnacentral:rRNA from 1 species